rnacentral:rRNA from 1 species
UACGUAGGGAGCAAGCGUUGUCCGGAAUCAUUGGGCGUAAAGCGCGCGUAGGUGGCCUCAUAAGUCCGCUGUGAAAGUCAAAGGCUCAACCUUUGAAAGCCGGUGGAUACUGUGAGGCUAGAGUACGGAAGAGGCGAGUGGAAUUCCUGGUGUAGCGGUGGAAUGCGCAGAUAUCGGGAGGAACACCAAUAGCGAAGGCAGCUCGCUGGGACGUUACUGACACUGAGGCGCGAAAGCGUGGGGAGCGAACAGG